rnacentral:misc_RNA from 1 species
AGUUGGAAGUGCCUGAAGUCCGUCACCGCAAGGAGCGGCCUAGGGUAAAGUCGAUAACUAGGGCUAAGUCGUAACAAGGUAGCCGUACCGGAAGGUGCGGCUGGAACACCUCCUUUCUAGAGAAAGACGACUAAAGGUAAACGUGAAGGAAAGAAAUUAUUUGUUCUCACAGCUGUUAAUUAAAAAGAUACCAAUAAAAAAAGUAGAGUCUCAUAGCUCAGCUGGUUAGAGCGCUACACUGAUAAUGUAGAGGUCGGCAGUUCGAGUCUGCCUGAGACUACUAGUUUUUAUUACAAUUGGAAAUUCUAGAAGUUUGAGUAGUAGUUAAGUACUAACUACUGACUACUAUGUACUAACUUUUAGUAUAUGGGGGAUUAGCUCAGCUGGCUAGAGCGCCUGCCUUGCACGCAGGAGGUCAUCGGUUCGACUCCGAUAUUCUCCACAACGGCUUAACGUUUAUAUUGAUUUAUCAUUAUAAAUUCGCCACACGAUCAUUGACAUAUUGAAAAAGAUACAUGAAACAUUAGAUAUUUAUAUCUAAUAGAAAAAGUAAAUUAAAAAUUGUUGCGAGCUAGCAAUAAUUAAGAGUAAACUCAUUAAAAAGACAAAAGUGCAAUAAGCUAAAUAAGGGCGUAUGGGGAAUGCCUAGGCUCUCAGAGGCGAUGAAGGACGUGAUAAGCUGCGAAAA